rnacentral:rRNA from 1 species
UACGUAGGUGACCAGCGUUGUCCGGAUUUACUGGGCGUAAAGAGCGCGCAGGCGGUCGUUCAAGUCGAGUGUGAAAGCCCCCGGCUCAACUGGGGAGGGUCACUCGAUACUGAUCGACUUGAAGGCAGGAGAGGGAAGCGGAAUUCCCGGUGUAGCGGUGAAGUGUGUAGAGAUCGGGAGGAACACCGGUGGCGAAGGCGGGUCUCUGGGCAAUUCCUGACGCUGAGGCGCGAAAGCGUGGGGAGCAAACGGG